UACGUAGGGGGCAAGCGUUGUCCGGGUUUAUUGGGCGUAAAGAGCGUGUAGGCGGCCAGACAGGUCCGUUGUGAAAACUCGAGGCUCAACCUCGAGACGCCGAUGGAAACCGUCUGGCUAGAGUCCGGAAGAGGAAAGUGGAAUUCCUGGUGUAGCGGUGAAAUGCGCAGAUAUCAGGAGGAACACCGAUGGCGAAGGCAGGUCUCUGGGCCACUACUGACGCUGAGAAGCGAAAGCAUGGGGAGCGAACAGG
rnacentral:rRNA from 1 species